AAGACUUUAAGUUAAAUAAACUAAUAGCCUUCAAAGUUAUAAAUAAAGGGGAUUUCUUUAAGUUUUA
rnacentral:tRNA from 1 species